GACAGAGGGUGCAAACGUUGUUCGGAAUUACUGGGCGUAAAGCGUGUGUAGGCGGCCAAGCAAGUCGGAUGUGAAAGCCCCAGGCUCAACCUGGGAAGUGCACUCGAUACUGCUUGGCUUGAGUAUCGGAGAGGUUGGUGGAAUUCUCGGUGUAGAGGUGAAAUUCGUAGAUAUCGAGAGGAACACCGGUGGCGAAGGCGGCCAACUGGACGAAUACUGACGCUGAGACACGAAAGCGUGGGGGAGCAAACAGG
rnacentral:rRNA from 1 species